rnacentral:rRNA from 1 species
AACGCUGGCGGCGUGCCUAAUACAUGCAAGUAGAACGCUGAAGAGAGGAGCUUGCUCUUCUUGGAUGAGUUGCGAACGGGUGAGUAACGCGUAGGUAACCUGCCUUGUAGCGGGGGAUAACUAUUGGAAACGAUAGCUAAUACCGCAUAACAAUGGAUGACACAUGUCAUUUAUUUGAAAGGGGCAAUUGCUCCACUACAAGAUGGACCUGCGUUGUAUUAGCUAGUAGGUGAGGUAAUGGCUCACCUAGGCGACGAUACAUAGCCGACCUGAGAGGGUGAUCGGCCACACUGGGACUGAGACACGGCCCAGACUCCUACGGGAGGCAGCAGUAGGGAAUCUUCGGCAAUGGGGGCAACCCUGACCGAGCAACGCCGCGUGAGUGAAGAAGGUUUUCGGAUCGUAAAGCUCUGUUGUAAGUCAAGAACGGGUGUGAGAGUGGAAAGUUCACACUGUGACGGUAGCUUACCAGAAAGGGACGGCUAACUACGUGCCAGCAGCCGCGGUAAUACGUAGGUCCCGAGCGUUGUCCGGAUUUAUUGGGCGUAAAGCGAGCGCAGGCGGUUUGAUAAGUCUGAAGUUAAAGGCUGUGGCUCAACCAUAGUUCGCUUUGGAAACUGUCAAACUUGAGUGCAGAAGGGGAGAGUGGAAUUCCAUGUGUAGCGGUGAAAUGCGUAGAUAUAUGGAGGAACACCGGUGGCGAAAGCGGCUCUCUGGUCUGUAACUGACGCUGAGGCUCGAAAGCGUGGGGAGCGAACAGGAUUAGAUACCCUGGUAGUCCACGCCGUAAACGAUGAGUGCUAGGUGUUGGAUCCUUUCCGGGAUUCAGUGCCGCAGCUAACGCAUUAAGCACUCCGCCUGGGGAGUACGACCGCAAGGUUGAAACUCAAAGGAAUUGACGGGGGCCCGCACAAGCGGUGGAGCAUGUGGUUUAAUUCGAAGCAACGCGAAGAACCUUACCAGGUCUUGACAUCCCGAUGCUAUUUCUAGAGAUAGAAAGUUACUUCGGUACAUCGGUGACAGGUGGUGCAUGGUUGUCGUCAGCUCGUGUCGUGAGAUGUUGGGUUAAGUCCCGCAACGAGCGCAACCCCUAUUGUUAGUUGCCAUCAUUCAGUUGGGCACUCUAGCGAGACUGCCGGUAAUAAACCGGAGGAAGGUGGGGAUGACGUCAAAUCAUCAUGCCCCUUAUGACCUGGGCUACACACGUGCUACAAUGGUUGGUACAACGAGUUGCGAGUCGGUGACGGCGAGCUAAUCUCUUAAAGCCAAUCUCAGUUCGGAUUGUAGGCUGCAACUCGCCUACAUGAAGUCGGAAUCGCUAGUAAUCGCGGAUCAGCACGCCGCGGUGAAUACGUUCCCGGGCCUUGUACACACCGCCCGUCACACCACGAGAGUUUGUAACACCCGAAGUCGGUGAGGUAACCUUUUGGAGCCAGCCGCCUAAGGUGGGACAGAUGAUUGGGGUGAAGUC